ACCAUGCCGCGUGUGUGAAGAAGGCCUUUUGGUUGUAAAGCACUUUAAGCGAGGAGGAGGCUCCUUUAUUAAUACCUAAAGAGAGUGGACGUUACUCGCAGAAUAAGCACCGGCUAACUCUGUGCCAGCAGCCGCGGUAAUACAGAGGGUGCGAGCGUUAAUCGGAUUUACUGGGCGUAAAGCGUGCGUAGGCGGCUUUUUAAGUCGGAUGUGAAAUCCCUGAGCUUAACUUAGGAAUUGCAUUCGAUACUGGAAAGCUAGAGUAUGGGAGAGGAUGGUAGAAUUCCAGGUGUAGCGGUGAAAUGCGUAGAGAUCUGGAGGAAUACCGAUGGCGAAGGCAGCCAUCUGGCCUAAUACUGACGCUGAGGUACGAAAGCAUGGGGAGCAAACAGGAUUAGAUACCCUGGUAGUCCAUGCCGUAAACGAUGUCUACUAGCCGUUGGGGCCUUUGAGGCUUUAGUGGCGCAGCUAACGCGAUAAGUAGACCGUCUGGGGAGUACGGUCGCAAGACUAAAACUCAAAUGAAUUGACGGGGGCCCGCACAAGCGGUGGAGCAUGUGGGUUUAAUUUCCGAUUGC
rnacentral:rRNA from 1 species